GACGACCGCUGGCGGCGUGCUUAACACAUGCAAGUCGAACGGAAAGGCCCUGCUUUUGUGGGGUGCUCGAGUGGCGAACGGGUGAGUAACACGUGAGUAACCUGCCCUUGACUUUGGGAUAACUUCAGGAAACUGGGGCUAAUACCGGAUAGGAGCUCCUGCUGCAUGGUGGGGGUUGGAAAGUUUCGGCGGUUGGGGAUGGACUCGCGGCUUAUCAGCUUGUUGGUGGGGUAGUGGCUUACCAAGGCUUUGACGGGUAGCCGGCCUGAGAGGGUGACCGGCCACAUGGGGACUGAGAUACGGCCCAGACUCCUACGGGAGGCAGCAGUGGGGAAUAUUGCACAAUGGGCGGAAGCCUGAUGCAGCAACGCCGCGUGCGGGAUGACGGCCUUCGGGUUGUAAACCGCUUUCGCCUGUGACGAAGCGUGAGUGACGGUAAUGGGUAAAGAAGCACCGGCUAACUACGUG
rnacentral:rRNA from 1 species